GCAAACUGGGGACACGGGAACUUUUUGUUCUGACACUUUUUGGUAGAACGAGGCUGUAUGAACAAGAGCGAGGAAGUCCCAGCUGAUGGUCCCGUCACCCACCCAAACGAAGGCAGACAUCCCAUAAUAACUGGUCCAGCUCGUGGGGACAGCAGUCUGAGUGGGGAUGCCCAGACCUCCCUCUCACCAGCCACCUCCUGCAGCUCCUUUGGGGGAUACCAAGGUGUUCCCAGUCCAGGCAAGAGAUGUAAUCUCUCCAGCGUGUCCUGGGUCUGCCCUGGGGUCUCCUCCUGGUUGGAUUUUCCUGAAGCACCUCCCCUGAGAGCCACCCAGGAGGCAUCCUAGACAGAUGUCUGAAAAGACCUCAACUAGCAGAGGAGCAGUGGCUGGUCUUUGAGCCCCUUCCCAGAUGUCUGAGCUCUUCUCUAAGGCUGAGCCCAGACGCCCCUCAGAGGAAAUUCAUUUCUGCUGCUUGUGUCCGCGAUCUCAUUCUUUCAGUCACUACCCAAAGCUUGUGACCAUAGUGAGGAUAGGAACGUAAAUCGAGCUGUAAAUGGACAGCUUUGUCUUCCAGCUCAACUCUCUCUCUACCACGACAGAGCUGGCUGAUGCUGCACUGAUCUGCCUGAUGACCACAAUGAACUGCCCUCGAGAUGGAUGUGCUGCUGCUCUUGAACCAUUUAAUGAAACAAAGCAGAAUCUCAUUCAUAACAAGUAUUAUUAUAAUCAUUGUCAUCAUCAUCAUUAUAGUGUUCUAUAGUUUUCUCCUUAUUAUAUGGAGUGUAGUUUUCUUAUUGACAUAAGAAAGGGGUUAAAGUUUGUAAAUAUAGACCAGAAGUCAUUUGAGCAAUUGUCAUUUGUAUUCCUCUGUUUCUCUUUGAAAUGCUUUUCCAAUCUACCUUCAGUGCACGACAGAUGAAAUGAGCAGUUUUCAGCUGCAGGCUGAAUGGGGAUAAAUGAAAUGUGUUAGCAACACACUGCCUAAAUGAAGUGAGCCGACGCUGCUCAGUGCAUUGCUGAAGAUGCACGGCAAUCAAAUGGAACCCAAUUAAUUUUCAUUCCAAACAGCACUCAUUCAUUUUCUUUUAAUUACCUUGACAGAGCCAGUACAGAGCACUGAAAAAUGCAGGCCUGCACUGAGGCUACAGUCUUCAGAUGGCUACAAAAGGGAAACCCAUAAUGCAUUUGGGUAUGACCAAUGUGAUCAUCAACACUGACUCUUGUUGGCCUUCCAGUAUGAGCCGUCCUUUCUUGUGGCAUUUGUCAGAACAACCUUGACCCUGAAGUCACCAUCAUGCCAGGAAGGAAUCUCCAGCUUGCCAAUUGCAUUUAACAUCACCGAAAAGAUGCAAGGCGUCAUGCUUUUAUUCAUUUGAAACUUAUCGGUACAACUCUGCUGUACCUCUCGUGUGUGACGCGAGCUACAACAAACAAUGUCCAACACCAAACAAAGUGUGACCCAGGUGAAGGCAUUUCAUUUUAGACUCCAGAGCCCAUGGGGGACAUUAGGGAACCCCGAGUUUUACACAUUAGCACCAGUGCUAGCAUAGUUAUUCAUAUAAAUUGGAGAUCUCUUAAGGAAGCAUGCAGAUGUAGCUGUUUAAAGCACAUCAACUGAAAGCUAUGCAAGUUGCUUUUCAUAAAUGUUCUGGUUAAUUAAAAAGAAUAACAGGGAUUUUUCUGCUUUUCUUCAUCUGUCUCCAUCUUUCUUGCUCUUUCAGAUGCCUGUUUGUCCUCCUCUCUUUGUAUCUCACUUUCUCUCACACUCUGUCAUUCACUCCUUCAGAUUAUGGCUACACCUCACCUUGUGGCUGGAACCCUUUUCAUUCUUCAUGCUUACUUUCAUUUUUCUCUUAAUGUUGCCAUUUCUCAUUUUUAAUAAUUUUCAGUUAUAGAGAGGGAGAGAAAACCUCAGUCACUAUUCAUCAUCUGUCCCAGAGGUCUCUUUUUGGCUGUCUCAUCUUACGUCUUCAAGAGUAAAACAAAUUAAUCAAAUUUAAUUUGUGUAGAGCUACAACAGAAUUGUUGCAUGGUCCAUAACAAUAUGCAGAUGCGGCUUCCAGAGGGAAUUUAAAAAAAAGAACUUUAUUAGCAAAAGUGGAAUCCUGGAAAAUUAUUCACCGAUUCCCCUCUUAAGAGCAACAGUGAAGUUUUAACCCACCUAGAGUCAAACACAACAGAAAAAUUAAUUGGUGGAAGUACAAUGUGAUUAAGUGCCGUAUAACAGCUUCAUAAACAGCAGCAGCGUCCUUCUCUCAGUAAUAUUCCAGCUCUGAAGACUGAAUGGAGUCAUUGAUCUUAUUAAUUGCACAGGCACUGCUGUGAGUGUCACCUAUUAGCCUGCGUGAACUGCUCAAGCAGGUGAAAUGGUGUAUCUGAUUUAAUCUGGCCAGACACCAUGGUCCCGCCGCAGCGCAUUCAGCAUUCAGGGGGACCUUUGGCCCCGUCUCGGGGGAUUUAGCCAACGCCUGACUGAAGCGCUGAUAGCUGCAGCUGUCAGAUUUGCUUUGGAAAUAACUGACAAUGCAUGGGGGUGAGCGCAGCCUGCCGAUAGCGAGCUAGCCUGUGGCUAACAGCCGCCUAGUGGGGCUGGAGGAGGCUUGGUGGCCAUCUUAGAUGCUUUAGAGUCGCUUGAGAAAGUCAGCCUGGGAGUGGCUGGAUAUCUGGGCAUAAAAGGACUGUUUUUAAAGCUGAUAGACUAAGAACAUGGAGUGGGAUAAAUCUCUGCUAUGAUUGCUAUGGAAUAUUGGAUAACUAGCUGAUGUUUACUAUCUUUGUUAUGUUCUGGUUCUGGUUAGGGACUUUAAAAGGCAGGACUGGACCAAAGGCCUGCUUUCUGUUGCCCUCAUAAUUAAACAGUGUGACAUUGUGCAGAUUUAAUAUAGCCGAACAUUAGAGAAGAGCAUUUGACAUUUGCGCCAUCUCUUGACAAGACUUAAAGUGGAGUGUGAAGAGAAUAACUCAGCAAUAGCCAGAUGUGAUGCAUAUAGAUGAAAAGUCACUCAAUUCCCUCUCUUUUAGAUGUCUAUCAAGAAUAAGAUGGCACCAUAUAAGCUCAUAUCCCAUGAAGUCAAUAUAAUGACAGUUAACUUUUGUAGGAGCUGGCAAUUGAAUGAAGGCCCAGAUGGAUUUAUCGUCCAUGAGCCAUUUCCCACUGGCAGCACCCUGUCAGUGUAAUACAAGCCGGCAGACAUGUGGGGGCACCAGACGUGGGGGCCACCACACUGGCUUCCUGUCAGUGUAAUACAAGCCGGCAGACAUGUGGGGGCGCCAGACGUGGGGGCCACCACACUGGCUUCCUGUCAGUGUAAUAGGAGCUGGCAGACAUGUGGGGGCGCCAGACAUGGGGGCCACCACACUGGCUUCCUGUCAGUGUAACAUGAGCCAGCGGACACUCGGGGGCGCAGGACGUGGGGGCCACCUGUUACUGGCCGCAAGUGAGAUACGUGCCGUAAGUUUCGGGUACGUGCCGUAAGUUCAGGAGAAUUCCCUACAGGUUCUCUGGAUGUCCUGCCACUCGCCCAUUCGUCAGCCGCUCCUUCGACUCCGCCUUCUGGUCCUGGCCCCGCCUCCCUCGCCUUCAGAGCAGUUUCCGGUUCACCGUCAGAAGAGGCCACCGCUUCGUCACUUCGUCUGCUCGCUUCUCGCCUGUUAGCUCGCUCUUCGUUCGCUUUGCUUUUGUAUGACUGCUCGUGUAUGACUGUUUUGUUCUUGGUUUCUGAUUUUCGCCUCGUCCCUUAUUGUACUUUCGCCCUGCUUUUGACUGCCUGCUUGGUUUUGAACUUUCGCUCGUACUCCGACUUCGCCUCUUUGAUCUCCCCUCUGGAUACUGUCGCUUCGGCUGUGUGUCUGUGUGUUUCACUAUGUGUGUGUAAGGAGUGUCUGCCUUUUUUGUUUAUUCAUAAAUGUGGGGAUUACUGUUGCUUGGUUAGGGAGUUAGGCUUAGGCAUUGUUGUUUCAUUUUCCCCUUUUUUAUGUUCACUUAGGAUUAGCUUAGCUUGGGGUUGUAUUCGGUUUUGUUUUUGUGUUUUUGUUUGUUUCUUUGGCCUU